rnacentral:rRNA from 1 species
GACGGGUGAGUAACACGUGGGUAACCUGCCUGUAAGACUGGGAUAACUCCGGGAAACCGGAGCUAAUACCGGAUAGUUCCUUGAACCGCAUGGUUCAAGGAUGAAAGACGGUUUCGGCUGUCACUUACAGAUGGACCCGCGGCGCAUUAGCUAGUUGGUGGGGUAAUGGCUCACCAAGGCGACGAUGCGUAGCCGACCUGAGAGGGUGAUCGGCCACACUGGGACUGAGACACGGCCCAGACUCCUACGGGAGGCAGCAGUAGGGAAUCUUCCGCAAUGGACGAAAGUCUGACGGAGCAACGCCGCGUGAGUGAUGAAGGUUUUCGGAUCGUAAAGCUCUGUUGUUAGGGAAGAACAAGUGCGAGAGUAACUGCUCGCACCUUGACGGUACCUAACCAGAAAGCCACGGCUAACUACGUGCCAGCAGCCGCGGUAAUACGUAGGUGGCAAGCGUUGUCCGGAAUUAUUGGGCGUAAAGGGCUCGCAGGCGGUUUCUUAAGUCUGAUGUGAAAGCCCCCGGCUCAACCGGGGAGGGUCAUUGGAAACUGGGAAACUUGAGUGCAGAAGAGGAGAGUGGAAUUCCACGUGUAGCGGUGAAAUGCGUAGAGAUGUGGAGGAACACCAGUGGCGAAGGCGACUCUCUGGUCUGUAACUGACGCUGAGGAGCGAAAGCGUGGGGAGCGAACAGGAUUAGAUACCCUGGUAGUCCACGCCGUAAACGAUGAGUGCUAAGUGUUAGGGGGUUUCCGCCCCUUAGUGCUGCAGCUAACGC